UCAGUCAUCAAAAUAGGUUUUGGCUUGUAUCCUCCUUGUAGUGUUGCUAAUGUAUUUAUCAACUGGUUGCAUGGGAUUGAUCACAGGUUUAGAACUCUUCUCAGGGUGGGAGCGCUUGCCGUUAUUUGGUCGCUUUGGCUAUGUAGAAACGAUAAGGUUUACGAUGAUAAAAGUACUUCUCUGAUGCAGGUUAUCUACAGAUGUACCGGGACUCUUCGUUUAUGGUCCUCUCUACAACGCAUGAAGAAUCGAGACCUGUUUACGGAGGUGUGUACACGAUUGGAGGCUACGGCGAGGGAUACUUUUACCCAACAUGGAUGGCAGCAUGAUCUUAGGAUUGACCCCCCUAUGCUUUAG
rnacentral:rRNA from 1 species